ACAGUUCAAGGAGGACACCUGGAGGCUUGGAGGACACCUGGAGGCUUGUUCACCUUUUCAUUUUCUUGACUGUUUACAGGCAAUGAAACAGAGCUUUUGCUAAGGGAAAGCUACAACAAUGCUCAAAGAGAAAGGAGACAGCAGUGUCUAAGAAAGGAAAAAGGGAAGAUAAGAGGAUUCAUUUAAAUGCAGCGAAGCUGAGCUAAAACCUGGAUCAAAGCCUUGAAAUGAUACCAUGAAGUUGGUGGAAGCCUGGUAGAACUGGCCCAAAUGAGACUGCUGAAUAAUAAGUGACUCAUUCUUAUAAUUCUCCCUCUCUUUCAUCUUUGUGUGCUGAAGGAGAAAGUGCCUUUCCUUCUGGAACAAACUUCUGAAAAACAUUCUGGCGGGUAUUUUCUUUUCCUGCUAAUCUUUACCUUCAGUGUUGUAGACAUUCAGGAAAUAAAAGUUCCAGUUCUGAGACCAGAAGGGCUAUGGUGCUUAGAAGGUGUUGAAGAAAGGUCUUGUCAGAGGGUUACCCUUUGGCUACAGAGCCCCAACCCAAUAUCUCAACUGCAGCUGAGUGGAGCAUGAACCUCCAUCCUGCCAAAGAAUUGUGCCAUUUAUUCUUUGUUAUCCAGUUAAUUCUUAGGGAGUCUCAUUUUGUCUCAUCUCUUCUCCACAAAUUAUUGUGCAACUUAAUGUGGAGAAAACAGUCAAACAAGCAUGUUAUAACUGCAAUGAGUGGAGCAAACAGCAUGGCAAUAAAGUUGACCGA